UACAGAGGGUGCGAGCGUUAAUCGGAAUUACUGGGCGUAAAGGGCGCGUAGGCGGUUAGAUAAGUUGGAUGUGAAAUCCCUGGGCUUAACCUAGGAACUGCAUCUAAAACUGUUUAACUGGAGUGCGGUAGAGGGUAGUGGAAUUUCCGGUGUAGCGGUGAAAUGCGUAGAUAUCGGAAGGAACACCAGUGGCGAAGGCGGCUACCUGGACUGACACUGACGCUGAGGCGCGAGAGCGUGGGGAGCAAACAGG
rnacentral:rRNA from 1 species